ACGGGAGGCAGCAGUGGGGAAUAUUGCACAAUGGAGGGAACUCUGAUGCAGCAACGCCGCGUGAGUGAAGAAGGUCUUCGGAUCGUAAAACUCUGUCCUUAGGGACGAAGAAAGUGACGGUACCUAAGGAGGAAGCCCCGGCUAACUACGUGCCAGCAGCCGCGGUAAUACGUAGGGGGCGAGCGUUAUCCGGAAUUAUUGGGCGUAAAGAGUACGUAGGUGGUUUUGUAAGCGUAAGGUGAAAGCCCGGGGCUUAACUCCGGCGAGCCUUUCGAACUGCUAGACUUGAGUGCAGGAGGGGAAAGUGGAACUCCAUGUGUAGCGGUGAAAUGCGUAGAUAUAUGGAAGAACACCGGUGGCGAAGGCGACUUUCUGGACUGUAACUGACACUGAGGUACGAAAGCGUGGGGAGCAAACAGGAUUAGAUACCCUGGUA
rnacentral:rRNA from 1 species